GUCUUCGAUCAGGCGCUAGGGUUUCGCGUCUAGGCAGUGAGCGAUCGAUCUUUGGCGGUGCGUCCCCCGAGAGAUCUCUGUGAUUGUCGAGAGAGGAUCCCCCCAGCGAGCGAGUCCGAUUCAAGAUUUCGAGGAAUUGUGUGCCUGAUCGCUGCCGCCCGCAUUUCACUCGCGCGAGGGCUUGAUUCGAGGCUUCUUGGUGCGAGCGUAGAGAUCGAGAGCAGCUAUGCAGGCUUGCCUGGGAUUGUCCUUGAACCAGGCAGCAUGGAUGCACCGCCGCGCUCGAGCAACGGAAGCUACCGCUUUGGGGUCAAUCUGCUCCAGCCGCUUGAGCUCAGCUGUGCCGUCCUUGUCAUGCGCGACCGCCGGACUGAAGGUUCUUCACACUAGUUUUUUGCCCUCGAGAAAUUUGGAUAGAUGGGGCACUGGCAGCAGCCAUCUCCAGCGAUGGAAUGGGGAGCGGAGAAUGUACCGCUGCGUGGUCACCAUGUCGUCCAUGUCUCAAGUGCCAGAGGGUCCUCUUGGACUUUACGAUCCUGCAUUGGACAAGGAUUCGUGUGGGGUGGGUUUUGUUGCCGAGCUUUCAGCCAAGCCGAGCCGCCAGACUGUCACUGAUGCUCUGGAGAUGCUUGUAAGAAUGGCACAUCGUGGUGCUUGUGGCUGUGAAACUAACACUGGUGAUGGUGCAGGCGUUCUUUUGGCACUCCCCCAUGACUUCUUUGCAUCGAUCGCCAAAGACGAGAUCGGAUGUGAACUUCCCCCUCCAUCCGAGUACGCCGUCGGCAUGUUUUUUCUUCCCACUUCCGAGACGAGGCGGAUGGAAAGCAAAAACGUGUUUAACAAGGUCGCAGAGUCUCUUGGACACACGGUUCUUGGCUGGCGAAGUGUUGUGACCGACAACUCGGAUCUGGGGAAAUCGGCUCUUGCGACUGAGCCCGUUGUGGAGCAAGUGUUUUUGACGGGCAGCUCCAGGUCGUCCGCCAGCUUAGAACAGCAGAUGUAUAUUUUGCGCAAGCUGUCCAUGGUUGCCAUUCGAGCUGCUCUUAAUCUCCAGCAUGGUGCUGUUCGUGAUUUCUACAUCUGUUCCCUUUCAUCGAGAACUGUUGUUUACAAGGGGCAGCUCAAACCAGACCAGCUCAAGAAAUACUACGCGUCCGAUCUUUGUCACGACAAAUUUACAAGCUAUAUGGCUUUGGUGCAUUCAAGAUUUUCAACAAACACAUUUCCUAGCUGGGAUCGGGCGCAACCAAUGAGAGUUCUUGGUCACAAUGGAGAAAUCAAUACUCUUCGAGGAAAUGUCAAUUGGAUGCGAGCUCGGGAAGGCCUUUUGAAAUGCAGAGCGCUUGACCUUUCAAAUGACGAACUCCAGAAACUGCUUCCUAUUGUUGACGCUAGCUCCUCCGACUCCGGUUCAUUUGAUGGUGUGUUGGAGUUUCUUGUACGCUCUGGUCGAAGUCUUCCGGAGGCAAUGAUGAUGAUGAUACCGGAAGCAUGGCAGAAUGACAAGAAUAUGGAUCCAGAAAGAAGAGCUCUGUACGAGUACUUUUCUGCUUUGAUGGAACCUUGGGAUGGACCUGCGCUUAUUGCUUUCUCGGACGGUCGUUAUCUUGGUGCAACUCUGGAUCGAAAUGGACUUCGACCAGGGCGUUACUACAUCACUCAUAGUGGCCGCGUGAUCAUGGGCAGUGAGGUCGGCGUAGUCGAUGUGCCACCCCAGGAUGUAAGCAAAAAAGGUCGCUUAAAUCCGGGUAUGAUGCUUCUCGUGGAUUUUGAGAACCAUGCCGUUGUGGACGACGACGCCCUUAAGAAAGAGUAUUCUACGCGUCAACCAUAUGCUGAGUGGCUCCAACAUCAGAAAAUUUUGCUCAAGGACAUCGUGGACUCUGUUUCAGAAGACUGCACAUCUCCACGAAUUAUUGGAACUCUGCAGCCUAAAAAGACGGAUGCAACGAGGGACAACAUGGGGAUUCAUGGAUUGGUACCACCGCUCAAAGCUUUUGGGUACACUGUUGAAGCGCUCGAGAUGCUGUUACUUCCAAUGGCCAAAGAUGGUGUGGAGGCCCUUGGCUCGAUGGGAAAUGACGCACCGUUGGCCGUUAUGACCGAUCGGCCAAAGCUCAGCUUCGAGUACUUCAAGCAGAUGUUUGCUCAAGUUACAAAUCCGCCGAUAGAUCCUAUCCGUGAAGCUAUCGUCACAUCGACAGAGUGCAUGAUCGGACCGGAGGGUGAUUUGACGGAGUCGACAGAAGAGCAAUUCCACCGGCUCUCUCUGAAGGGACCGCUCAUAUCACCUUUGGAAAUGGAAGCGCUGAAGAAGAUGAACUACCAGGGUUGGCGGAGCAAAAUAAUUGACAUCACGUUUCCACGAGAGGAAGGACCUACUGGUCUGGAGAAAGCUCUGGACAGAAUAUGUGUGGAAGCCAGGAAAGCCAUAUCGAAGGGGUUCAAAAUGCUGGUUCUUUCGGACAGAGGAACCUCUCCUGAACGAGUUCCAGUGAGCUCUUUAUUGGCUGUUGGAACUGUUCAUCACCAUCUCGUCUCAACUCUUGAGCGUACGCGCAUUGGUUUAGUGGUGGAAUCUGGUGAGCCUAGGGAGGUACAUCACUUCUGCACACUCCUAGGAUUUGGAGCAGACGCGAUAUGUCCCUACCUGGCCGUUGAAGCUAUCUGGAGGUUACAGGUAGAUGGCAAAAUACCAUCUAAGGAGAAUGGAGUCCUAAGUUCUAAAGACGAGCUGGUCCAGAAGUACUUCAAAGCUUCGAAUUCGGGUAUUCUCAAGGUCCUUGCCAAGAUGGGCAUUUCAACCUUGGCAUCGUACAAAGGAGCUCAAAUCUUCGAAGCCCUUGGCCUCUCUUCGGACGUAGUGCAGAGGUGCUUCAGAGGUACACCAAGCAGGGUGGAGGGUGCUACGUUUGAGAUGCUUGCAAAGGAUUCGCUUCGAUUGCAUGAGCUGGCGUUUCCCUCUCGCAAGCUGCCACCGGGAAGUGCUGAAGCUCAUGCUCUGCCAAAUCCCGGAGACUAUCACUGGAGGAAAGAUGGCGAGAUUCAUCUGAAUGACCCGCUAGCGAUGGCAAAGUUACAGGAAGCUGCUCGGACUAACAGCGUUGGAGCCUACAAGGACUACUCGAAGCGGAUUUACGAACUGAACAAAAAAUGCAGCCUGCGUGGGAUGUUGAAGUUCAAAGCUUCCAAAACUCCGGUUGCAUUAGAGGAGGUGGAACCUGCCAGCGAAAUCGUGAAGCGUUUCUGUACUGGUGCUAUGAGUUACGGCUCUAUUUCCUUGGAGGCUCACACAACUUUGGCGAUGGCAAUGAACCAAAUCGGAGGAAAAUCUAAUACUGGUGAGGGAGGUGAAAAUCCUUCUCGACUGGAGGCUUUGCCUAACGGCCAGAUGAACCCGAAAAGAAGUGCUAUCAAGCAAGUCGCCAGUGGAAGAUUUGGAGUCACCAGUUAUUAUCUUACGAAUGCUGAUGAACUUCAAAUCAAAAUGGCUCAGGGAGCAAAACCUGGAGAGGGAGGUGAGCUUCCGGGGCACAAGGUUAUAGGAGACAUUGCGACAACAAGAAACUCUACAUCGGGCGUUGGUUUGAUAAGUCCUCCACCACAUCAUGAUAUCUAUUCGAUUGAAGACCUUGCUCAGCUUAUUUAUGAUCUGAAGAAUUCGAAUCCAGGUGCUCGUAUCAGCGUGAAGCUAGUUUCUGAAGCCGGUAUUGGUGUAGUGGCCAGCGGGGUCGUGAAAGGCCAUGCAGACCACGUCCUGAUUUCGGGCCAUGAAGGGGGUACCGGUGCGUCGCGCUGGACUGGCAUAAAAAAUGCAGGCUUGCCGUGGGAGCUUGGUCUUGCAGAGACUCAUCAGACGCUAGUUGCAAAUGAUCUUCGAGGACGGACCACAUUGCAAACUGAUGGACAGCUGAAAACUGGACGGGACAUUGUGAUAGCUGCUCUGCUUGGAGCGGAAGAAUUUGGAUUCAGCACUGCUCCAUUGAUUACGUUGGGCUGCAUCAUGAUGAGGAAGUGCCACUAGAACACUUGUCCCGUGGGAAUCGCUACUCAAGACCCGGUACUACGGGAAAUGUUUGCCGGAGAACCCGAAGACGUGAUCAACUUUUUCUUCAUGGUAGCGGAGGAAGCUCGUGAACUUAUGGCCGAAAUGGGAUUCAGGACGAUGGACGAAAUGGUUGGACGGGCUGACAUGCUAGAGGUGUACAAGUCCGUCACAGCAAGCAACGAGAAGCUGAAAAACAUCGAUCUGUCGCUUCUUCUUCGACCUGCGGCUGAUAUUCGACCCGACGCUGCUCAACGCUGCGUGCAGAAGCAGGAUCACAAUCUCGGCAUGGCUUUGGAUCAGCAACUCAUCAAAGUUUCUAAGCAUGCUCUAGAGAACGGGUACCCGGUAUAUCUGGAGUCACCCGUUGUGAACGUGAACCGGGCCGUAGGAACCAUGCUCAGUCACGAAGUCACCAAGAAGUACAAGAUGGAAGGCCUUCCGGCUGAUACCAUUCACGUCAAGCUUACAGGAAAUGCAGGACAGAGUCUAGGCGCGUUUCUAUGUCGGGGUAUUACGUUGGAGCUGGAAGGUGACAGCAACGACUACGUUGGGAAGGGACUUUGUGGAGGCAGGGUCGUGGUUUAUCCUCCCAGGGACAGCGGAUUUGACCCCAAAGAGAACAUCGUCAUUGGGAAUGUUGCUCUGUACGGGGCCACAAGUGGUGAAGCGUAUUUCAACGGCAUGGCCGCUGAGCGGUUCUGCGUUAGAAACUCCGGCGCAAAGGCAGUCGUGGAGGGCGUUGGAGAUCACGGCUGUGAAUACAUGACUGGAGGCACAGUCGUUAUUCUUGGGAAGACGGGGAAGAAUUUUGCUGCUGGAAUGAGCGGGGGGAUAGCAUACGUAUAUGAUGUGGACGGAAAGUUCAGGCUCCGAUGCAACCCCGGACAAGUCGACCUCGAAGACGUUCUUGAGGACGAGGAUGUGUUGACUUUGAGGGCUAUGAUUCAACAGCAUCAGCGACACACGAAAAGCCAGCAUGCAAAGCAAAUCCUGGAUGAGUUUGACUCUGCGCUUCCCAAGUUCGUGAAAGUUUUCCCUCGCGACUACAAAAGAGCUCUCAACGAGGAGAAGGCCAAGAAAAGAGCGGCAGAGGAGGAGGAAGCGCGACUGGCCACUGUGGAUGCUUUCCAGGAAUUGAAGAAAAUGGCCGAAGCGGCUACCAACGGAGGAGCGGCUGCAGUAGCUGAGACUCCGGCCAAAGCGCGGCCAACAAUAAUUCCGGACGCUGUUAAGCAUCGGGGAUUUAUCUCGUAUGAACGAGAAACACUUCCAUAUCGCCCGGCCCAGUAACGAAUGCAAGACUGGAACGAGGUCCUUGCUACCGGCAGGAAUGAUGACCUCCUUAAAACCCAGUCUGCCCGGUGUAUGGAUUGCGGCACUCCAUUCUGCAACCAGGAUAGCAGUGGAUGUCCCCUUGGAAACAAGAUUCCGGAAUGGAACGAACUUGUUCACCAAGGUCGUUGGCGGGAAGCCUUGGAUAGGCUCCUGGAAACCAACAACUUUCCAGAGUUCACGGGACGUGUGUGCCCUGCUCCUUGCGAGGGUGCCUGUGUUUUGGGAAUUAUCUCUAUUAAGACGAUGGAGUGUACCAUUAUUGACAAAGCCUUUGAGGAAGGUUGGAUGGUUCCUCGUCCACCAGCUUAUCGAACCGGGAAGAGAGUGGCGAUUGUAGGUAGCGGUCCGGCAGGCCUAGCAGCCGCUGAUCAGCUCAAUAAGGCCGGCCACUCCGUGACAGUGUUUGAGCGAGCGGAUAGAAUUGGAGGCCUCAUGAUGUACGGUGUACCGAACAUGAAGACCGACAAAGUGGAGGUCGUUCAACGGCGAGUGAACCUGAUGGCUGCCGAAGGGAUCGAGUUCAUCGUUAAUGCGAACGUCGGAGUUGACAAGUUAUUCUCGGUGGAGAGGUUAAUGUCCGACUAUGAUAGCUUACUACUUGCUUGUGGCGCUACUAAGCCCAGGGACCUUAAAGUAGAAGGCCGAGAAUAUGAAGGCAUACAUUUUGCCAUGGAGUUCCUUCACGCGAAUACCAAGAGUUUGCUGGAUUCGGGGCUCAAGGACAACAACUACAUAUCCGCCAAAGACAAGAAGGUGGUGGUGAUAGGAGGAGGCGAUACAGGCACAGAUUGCAUCGGUACUGCGGUCCGCCACGGCUGCAAGAGCGUUGUAAAUCUGGAGCUACUUCCUCAGCCUCCUGCAACUCGUGCACCGGGGAAUCCUUGGCCACAGUGGCCACGAAUUUUCCGCGUUGAUUACGGGCAUGCCGAGGCAAAGGAGAAGUUUGGUAGUGAUCCCAGGUCGUAUGAGGUGACCACAAAGAAGUUUAUCACCGAUGGUGAUAACCGUGUCAGCGGCUUGGUGCUCAAACGGGUGCGGUGGUUUAAGGACGCGAGUGGGAGAUUCCAGAGGGAGGAAAUCGAAGGGUCGGAAGAGAUAAUAGAGGCAGAUUUGGUGCUCUUGGCCAUGGGAUUCGUGGGACCAGAACAGGACGUAGCUGAGAAGCUCAAAGUGGCUACCAAUGAUGCAGCAACCACAUUUAAAGCAGAGUAUGGCAAAUUUGCUACAAAUGUCAAGGGUGUCUUUGCCGCUGGUGACUGUCGAAGAGGACAAUCGCUGGUUGUGUGGGCGAUUGCCGAAGGGAGGCAAGCGGCAGCACAGAUUGACAAGUUUCUGAUGGAAGACACUUCCAAGGUUGGCGAGGAGCUCAAGGCUGCUCGGAAGAAGAUGGGGAUGUUGAUAUAAAAUGGACAGCCAAAUUUUGCCUGUUGUAAAUUUUGUUGGGUUGGUUUUUAUCCUAAUUAAAGGAGUGGUUCUAAUCAAAAAUUAUAUUUAGUGUA